AGGGCACCACCAGGAGUGGAGCCUGCGGCUUAAUUUGACUCAACACGGGAAAACUCACCCGGCCCGGACACUGGAAGGAUUGACAGAUUGAGAGCUCUUUCUUGAUUCAGUGGGUGGUGGUGCAUGGCCGUUCUUAGUUGGUGGAGUGAUUUGUCUGGUUAAUUCCGAUAACGAACGAGACUCUAGCCUACUAAAUAGAUCGUCGGCUUACAAACGCCGGCGAGACUUCUUAGAGGGACAGGCGGUGAUUCAACCGCACGAAACAGAGCAAUAACAGGUCUGUGAUGCCCUUAGAUGUCCGGGGCCGCACGCGCGCUACACUGAAGUGAUCAGCGUGCUUUACGUUCCUGCUCCGACCGGAGUGGGGAACCCAGUGAACCUUCUUCGUGAUUGGGAUAGGGGAUUGUAAUUAUUCCCCUUGAACGAGGAAUUCCCAGUAAGCGCGAGUCAUAAGCUCGCGUUGAUUACGUCCCUGCCCUUUGUACACACCGCCCGUCGCUACUACCGAUUGAAUGUUUU
rnacentral:rRNA from 1 species